GCCGUCAGGCAAAACAGCCUCCAUUCCAAGAAUGGAACCAUGUAAGCUACCAUAACGUAACAAACGCAAUCCUCCAGCAGCAGUGGCAGCACAUCCGCCAACCUGACAACUGCCUUUGGCGCCAAGGUCUAAUGGAAACAUGUAUCCUUUUUCAGCCAAAAAAUUAUCUGCAUUUUCCAAGAUAACUCCAGAAUCCAAAGUGAUGACUCCAGAGAUUUCAUCGAAGGUAUGAAUUUGGUUCAUUAAGCCUAAGUUGAGAACAAUCUCAUCGAAAACCGGUACGGAGCCACCGACCAAACCAGUAUUACCACCUUGAGGUACUACGGCAAGCUUUUUCUGGUUACAGUAUUUCAAGAUUUCGCUAACUUGCUGAGUUGUUUUGGGCUUCAAUGCAAGUUGAGUUUUACCACGAUAUUUGUUCAUCCAGUCAAUAUUGAACGCAUCCAAAUCGGCUGGGUCAGUUGAUUUGUCUAGUCCAUCAAUUAAAGAUCCAUCUUUGCCAAUAAUUGAUUUGAAAACUUGAACGUCUUGCUCACUCAACUUUGCGUAUUUGGGAUCUCGAUGAAGCGACUUAUAAGAUUCAAAUGUAAACGCUGGCUUGUGAACAAAACGGAGCGCAUUACGCGGAGCAUGCAGAGAAAGCGAAAGCUUGCCAAACGGAAUAACACGGCGGCACUGAAGCGAAUGCAUUUUAGGAAUGGAUCACUUAAAUUGAUGAAUAGCUAAAGCCUAAAGUUCUAAAGAUAGAAGAGAUGAGAAAAUGAAAAUGACCAAAAAAACAAUAGUAUCGUUAUCAACAACAAUGAAUGAAAAUAGAGGGAGACAAGAAUAAACAACCCGACCUAACGAUUUACGAAAAGAGGGAUAUCAAAUGUUGAUGAAUUUUAACUCUUCAAUCACAAGUAAUGUCCAAUUUUUUAACGGCAAAUCCUUUUAUUCUCUAACCAAAACAGAAGUAUUGCUAUAUGAAUUCUUUAUGAAAAGACCCACAAGCAGCCACUUUACAGAUUCCUCACAAACGAGGGUAUGGUUCUGAAUCCGUUUAGUGUUGCUUAUUAUCAUGUAAAUAGAAAAAAGCAAUAAUUUUUUUGUUUACCGUGACACGGCAAUGCGGAUAAGGAAUAUUAAUGGAAAUCGAAAUACAUUAUAGCGACAUCUUUAAACCCCAUAUUUAUAAACAUACUGGCAAUACUUAAAUAGUGCUAGUAAUAAUAUCUUCACAGAAGGUGAAAAUUAUUAAUGA